GCAGCCGCGGUAAUACGGGGGAUGCAAGCGUUAUCCGGAUUUAUUGGGUUUAAAGGGUGCGUAGGCGGUCUGAUAAGUCAGCGGUGAAAUUUAGGGGCUCAACCUCUACCGUGCCGUUGAUACUGUUGGGCUAGAAUGCGGAUGCCGUGGGAGGAAUGUGUGGUGUAGCGGUGAAAUGCAUAGAUAUCACACAGAACACCGAUUGCGAAGGCAUCUCACGAAUCCGCAAUUGACGCUGAGGCACGAAAGCGUGGGGAUCAAACAGGAUUAGAUACCCC
rnacentral:rRNA from 1 species